AGCAGAGGCGCAAAGGAAGCGUGCUGGGCCCAUACCUGAGUGUCGAUGGAUCGAGUCCAUCUCUGCUA